rfam:Rhodococcus sp. PBTS1, complete genome.
GCCUCCUUAGCUCAGUGGUAGAGCACUCGCCUUGUAAGCGAAAGGUCGUCAGUUCAAUCCUGACAGGGGGCU